ensembl:lncRNA
AAAUAUAUAUAUGUUUACAACAACACCCACAGAUAAAUAUAUAUAUAUAUAUGUUUACAACAACACCCACACAUAAAUAUAUAUAUAUAUGUUUACAACAACACCCACACAUUAUAUAUAUAUCUGCAAUAUGACCAGACAGCAGUAUAAAAGUGGGAUGACAGAACAGAAGAGACUUAUCUGUUCAACAAACAAAACCCUCAAAUCCAUGUUGCGUCCCAAUUGGCCCCUAUCAGAUGGCAUCCUAUUCCCUAUAUAGUGCACUACUUUAGACCAGAUGGCACCAAAUGAUGCCAUUCGGCACUUUCCCCAAGGUACAGAUCUAGGGUCAGAUUCCUCCAGGUACAGAUCUAGGAUCAGAUUCCUCUAGGUACAGAUCUAGGAUCAGUUUCCCCUAGGUACAGAUCUAGGAUCAGUUUCCCCUAGGUACAGAUCUAGGGUCAGUUUCCCCUAGGUACAGAUCUAGGGUCAGUUUCCCCUAGGUACAGAUCUAGGAUCAGUCUAGGUUCAGAUCUAGGGUCAGUUUCCCCUAGGUACAGAUCUAGGAUCAGUUUCCCCCAGGUACAGAUCUAGGAUCAGUUUCCCCUAGGUACAGAUCUAGGGUCAGUUUCCCCUAGGUACAGAUCUAGGGUCAGUUUCCCCUUGGUACAGAUCUAGGGUCAGUUUCCCCUAGGUACAGAUCUAGGGUCAGUUUCCCCAAGGUACGUUCUGUUAUCAUGAUUGUGUUAUCAUUAUUACAAGCGUAUUAUAGUCUACAUGGUCUUGUAACUAGUACUUAGAUCAUGUUGAACAACAAAAACUACAUUCUGGGAACGUUCAAUACAUCAGGAGAGGAGAGGAAUCAUCCAACCAGGAUUUCUGGAAAGCCAGGAAAUUUAUUGAAAGGAGAAAUGCUGUGAUUGGCUACUAGAGCUUAGGGAAGAGGAGGAGAGGAAGGACAUAGAGUCUCUCUCUCUCUCUCCUUCUCCCCUCUCCCUCUACUCCCC